rnacentral:rRNA from 1 species
AAUCAACGCUGGCGGCGUGCCUAACACAUGCAAGUCGAGCGAGAAAGUGUAGCAAUACAUGAGUACAGCGGCGCACGGGUGAGUAACACGUGGGUAAUCUGCCCUAGAGUGGGGAAUAACACCGGGAAACCGGUGCUAAUACCGCAUACGAUCACGAUGUCUGCGGAUGUUGUGAUGAAAGGAGCAAUUCGCUCUUGGAGGAGCCCGCGGCUGAUUAGCUAGUUGGUAAGGUAACGGCUUACCAAGGCAACGAUCAGUAGCCGGUCUGAGAGGACGGUCGGCCACACUGGAACUGAGACACGGUCCAGACUCCUACGGGAGGCAGCAGUGGGGAGUUUUUCGCAAUGGGGGCAACCCUGACGAAGCAACGCCGCGUGGGUGAUGAAGUCUCUUGGGACGUAAAACCCUUUCGACGGGGAAGAAACCGCAAGGUUGACGGUACCCGUAGAAGAAGCCCCGGCUAACUCCGUGCCAGCCGCCGCGGUAAGAC